UUGACGUGUUCAGACGUCAGCAAGCAAUUUGAAUUUAACCGUACUUCUUCGUACUGAUUACAACAUUUAAGCUGUGGAUAAUAACAAAGUCAAAUAUAUUUAGAACGUGUUAAGUACGAAGGCAGUAUACGGAACAUUGCAAUAAACUGAAAUAAAAAAUAACUCUGAAGAGUGAAAGUUUAUAUUCCCAAAACAAGAAAUGAAUCGACAACAGGGAACAAGUAACGAAAAAAAUGUACCUCAGCAACACGCGCAAUCAAACGAACGAUACCGUUGUGAGAUUUGUGAAAAAGCAUUUAGUGAAAAAAAAGAUCUAGUACUCCACCGAAUGACAGAUCAUCCCAG